ACUAGCUGAGAAUGGGGAGAACAAGGAAAGAGAAGGUUAGACAGAGAAUGAAAGGCAAGCAUUCCUAUCUCUGCAUCUGUUCCUUUAUUUUUUCACUUUUUGCUUAAAAGAGAAAUCCAAGCUACCAUGCCUGCAUCUCUGGUAAAAUUCAAAGAAUGAAGCAGGGGAGCUGAACAAUAAAAGACUCUGUUCAAAGCAGCUUUGGUCCCUUCUGUAUGCAACUGGUAUGCCCUACAACUGGACUAUGCCCCCAUGGCAUGUUAUCCUGCAUUUUUGUCUCAAGAAAGAACUCAUUUGGUCUCCUGGGGAAGCAGAACUAGAAGAAGAAGAAUGGGCUGCAAAUUUAACACAAACUCACCAAUGGAUCUCCAAAAGUGCUGUGUAAAAAAUAUUUAAAAAUUGCGAGCAGAGGAUGCAGAAGGGUCAUCAUACGAGGAGUUCGUCAGAUGGCUUCCCUCCUCCGUUUCUACACACUUCAAAGACAGUUCAAAGACGGACUCCCACAGAGCCCAUCAAACAAUGCAGGACUGCUUCUUAUGGUUGCGCAUCUCCCCAGCAUAGGACUCCAUCUCCUAAAUGGGGAAUUCUAAGUCUGGCACAAAUCGACUCCACUCCAUUGCAUAUGGGUAGAAACACCUAAAAACAGGCAUCUGUCCAUGGGAUAGGGAGCGGUGGAUUUCUCCUACCCUGUUUCCCCUAAAAUAAGACAUCCCCAGAAAAUAAGACCUAAUAGAGGUUUUGCUGAAUUGCUAAAUAUAAGGCCUCCCCCGAAAGUAAGACCUAGCAAAGUUUUUGUUUGGAAGCAUGCCUGCCAAACAGAACACCAGAGUAUGCAGGAUCGGCAAAUGUACAUACCAGAGUGUUGUACAUGGAAAUAAUGGUAGUAACAAGAAAUUCUCGAUAGGAUUCACAAUUUGUCUGGUUAUGCUGAUUUGUGAUGACAACUACUGUACAGUAUAUAAUAAAUGUUCAUUUUUUUGUUCAACAAUAAAUGUGAAUUCUUCUUCAUGGAAAAAUAAGACAUCCCCUGAAAAUAAGACCUAGAGCAUCUUUGGGAGCAAAAAAUUAAUAUAAGACACUGUCUUGUUUUCGGGGAAA